UACGUAGGGACCAAGCGUUGUUCGGAUUUACUGGGCGUAAAGGGCGCGUAGGCGGCCUGACAAGUCACUUGUGAAAUCUCUGGGCUUAACCCAGAACGGCCAAGUGAUACUGUCGCGCUAGAGUGCGGAAGGGGCAAUCGGAAUUCUCGGUGUAGCGGUGAAAUGCGUAGAUAUCGAGAGGAACACCUGAGGUGAAGACGGGUUGCUGGGCCGACACUGACGCUGAGUGCGCGAAAGCCAGGGGAGCAAACGGG
rnacentral:rRNA from 1 species